rnacentral:rRNA from 1 species
GAAUUUGAUUCUAGUUUUGGAUGAAUGCUGGUGAAACGUAUUACACAUGCUAGUUUAAUAGAAAAUAUAUGUAUAUUUUGUUUUCUAUAGCGUAUAUGUGAGUAUAUAUAAGAAUUUACCUAUUUAUACUAUUAAAUAUAAAAGUAUUAACGUAAAUAGAUAAGCUUAUAUAAGAUUAGAUAGUUGGUAGGAUAAUAGCCAUACCAAGUCUAUGAUCUUCAGUUGGUAUUAGAGUUCGGCCAACCACACGAGAAAUGAGAAAUUCUCGCCUUAGGCAGCAGUGUAGAAUAUUGGACAAUUAGCGAAAGCUAGAUCCAGCGAUUUCACGGAGUUGAUAAAAGCUAUGGUAGCCGUAAAUUCUUUCCGCAAAAUAAAAUAAUGAUUUUAGUUUUGUAAAGAAGCACUGACCAAUCAUGUGCCAGCAGUCGCGGUAAGACAUGGGGUGCGAGCAUUAUCCAUAAAGAUUGGGCGUAAAGCAUGCGUAGGUGGUUAAGAAAGUUUUUUUAAAAAAAAAUAGUAAUAAAAAUAAAAUAAACACUCUUAUACUAGAAUUAAUAUAAGAAAAAUGGUCGUUUAAAUUUAGCGGUGAAGUAUGAUUAGAUUUAAAUAACCUCCAAAGGCCACGGCAAUUUUUUAAUAUUAAUUGACACUGAGGCAUUAAAGUAUAGGGAGCGAAUAGGAUUAGAGACCCUAGUAGUCUAUACCCUGAAUUAUGAGUAUUAAAUAUUUUUAUAAUAUUACAGCUAACGCGUUAAAUACUCCGCCUAGAGAUAACGAUCGCAAGAUUAAAACUUAAAGAAAUUGGCGGGAAUUUGUUCUAACGGUGGAACAUGUGCCUUAAUUAGACAAUACACUAAAAAUCUUACCAAUGUUUUUAUUAAUUUUUUUUUUUUAUUAAAAUUAUUAAAUUAAUAAAAAGGUUCUGCAUGGCUGUCGUAAAUUCGUGCUGUGAAGUGUUAGAUUCAGUUCUAAACGAAUGCAAUUCUACAUAAAUAAAACAGGUAAUUAAGUUUACUUUAUGUUUUUUUAUGAGUUUUUUUUAUUUUUUUAAAUAUGAAAGCUAAUUAGAUUGAAGUCAAGUCAGUAUGGACCUUAUAUAUUGGGCUGAGUGCGUGUUACAAAGGUAGUUACAAUAAGAUACAAAAGUGUAAACUUGAGUAAUUCUUUAAAAAUUACCCUAGUUCGGAUUAUUUUUUGUAAUGAAAAAUAAAAAGGAGGAAUCGUCAGUAAUCGUAUAUUAGAAUGGUACGGUGAAAAAAAAAGUCAAAUUUUGCACACACUGCCCAUCACGCUCGAAAAGUCAAAUAUAAUAUAAAGUUAGACCUCUUGUGUAUUUAUAUAAUAAUAUUAUAUACUAUUAUAUGUGUAUACUAUGUGACUUUAGUUAUUUUUUUUUCAAUUUGAGCGAAGUUGUAACAAGGUACUGGUAGGGGAACCUGUUGGUG